UACGUAGGGUGCGAGCGUUAAUCGGAAUUACUGGGCGUAAAGCGUGCGUCGGCGGUUCUCCAAGUCCGUUGUGAAAGCCCCGGGCUCAACCUGGGAAUGGCAGUGGAAACUAGGGGACUGGAAUCUGGCAGAGGGGGGUGGAAUGCCGCGUGUAGCAGUGAAAUGCGUAGAGAUGUGGAGGAAUACCGAUGGCGAAGGCAGCCCCCUGGGCCAAUACUGACGCUCAUGCACGAAAGCGUGGGGAGCAAACAGG
rnacentral:rRNA from 1 species